rnacentral:tRNA from 1 species
UCCUUGUAAGCUCAGUGAGUAGAGCUCUGCACUGAAAAUGUAGAGUUCUCUGGUUUGAUACCAGGAGCAGGCA